rnacentral:rRNA from 1 species
GACGAACGCUGGCGGCGUGCUUUACACAUGCAAGUCGAACGGUGAAGGUGGAGCUUGCUCCGCCGGAUCAGUGGCGAACGGGUGAGUAACACGUGGGCAACCUGCCCCUAACUUUGGGAUAACUACUCGAAAGAGUAGCUAAUACCGGAUAUGAAGUCUGUAGGCAUCUACGGACUUGGAAAGUUUUUCGGUUAGGGAUGGGCCCGCGGCCUAUCAGCUUGUUGGUGAGGUAGUGGCUCACCAAGGCGACGACGGGUAGCCGGCCUGAGAGGGCGACCGGCCACACUGGGACUGAGACACGGCCCAGACUCCUACGGGAGGCAGCAGUGGGGAAUGUUGCGCAAUGGGCGAAAGCCUGACGCAGCAACGCCGCGUGCGGGAUGAAGGCCUUCGGGUUGUAAACCGCUUUCAGCAGGGAAGAAGCGAAAGUGACGGUACCUGCAGAAGAAGCACCGGCUAACUACGUGCCAGCCGCCGCCGUAA